UACGAAGGGGGCUAGCGUUGCUCGGAAUCACUGGGCGUAAAGGGUGCGUAGGCGGGUCUUUAAGUCAGGGGUGAAAUCCUGGAGCUCAACUCCAGAACUGCCUUUGAUACUGAGGAUCUUGAGUUCGGGAGAGGUGAGUGGAACUGCGAGUGUAGAGGUGAAAUUCGUAGAUAUUCGCAAGAACACCAGUGGCGAAGGCGGCUCACUGGCCCGAUACUGACGCUGAGGCGCGAAAGCUAGGGUAGGCAAACGGG
rnacentral:rRNA from 1 species